GGGCCCGUAGCUCAGCCAGGUAGAGCACCGGAAGAGUAGCGUAUCUGCUCUGGUGAAGCUUUUAGCCAUCAGAGGGACACCCGGCUGUCCCGGGUUCAAUUCCCGGCGGGCCCG
rfam:Archaeon 13_1_20CM_2_51_12 13_1_20cm_2_scaffold_869, whole genome shotgun sequence.